AGUGAACGCUGGCGGUAGGCCUAACACAUGCAAGUCGAACGGCAGCACAGUAAGAGCUUGCUCUUACGGGUGGCGAGUGGCGGACGGGUGAGGAAUACAUCGGAAUCUACUUUUUCGUGGGGGAUAACGUAGGUAAACUUACGCUAAUACCGCAUACGACCUACGGGUGAAAGCAGUGGAUCUUCGGACCUUGCGCGAUUGAAUGAGCCGAUGUCGGAUUAGCUAGUUGGCGGGGUAAAGGCCCACCAAGGCGACGAUCCGUAGCUGGUCUGAGAGGAUGAUCCGCCAGACUGGAACUGAGACACGGUCCAGACUCCUGCGGGAGGCAGCAGUGGGGAAUAUUGGACAAAGGGCGCAAGCCUGAUACAGCCAUACCGCGUGGGUGAAGAAGGCCUUCGGGUUGUAAAGCCAUUUUGUUGGGAAAGAAAAGCAGCAGGUUAAUACCCCGCUGUUCUGACGGUACCCAAAGAAUAAGCACCGGCUAACUUCGUG
rnacentral:rRNA from 1 species